GACGAACGCUGGCGGCGUGCUUAACACAUGCAAGUCGAACGAAGAGCGACGGAAGCUUGCUUCUAUCAAUCUUAGUGGCGAACGGGUGAGUAACGCGUAAUCAACCUGCCCUUCAGAGGGGGACAACAGUUGGAAACGACUGCUAAUACCGCAUACGAUCUAACCUCGGCAUCGAGGAUAGAUUAAAGGUGGCCUCUACAUGUAAGCUAUCACUGAAGGAGGGGAUUGCGUCUGAUUAGGUAGUUGGAGGGGUAACGGCCCACCAAGGCGAUGAUCAGUAGCCGGUCUGAGAGGAUGAACGGCCAAAUUGGGAAUGAGACACGGCCCAGACUCCUACGGGAGGCAGCAGUGGGGAAUCUUCCGCAAUGGACGAAAGUCUGACGGAGCAACGCCGCGGGAGGGAUGACGGCCGUCGGGUUGUAAAGCUCUGUUAAUCGGGAAGAAAGGCCUUCUUGCGAAUAGUGAGAAGGAUUGACGGUACCGGAAGAGAAAGCCACGGCUAACUACGUG
rnacentral:rRNA from 1 species